UUUUCCCUCCACCAUCCCAGAAUCUGUCGCCGCCAUCUCCACCGUCAUCGUCUUCUUCCCCUUCAUCGAUGCGAAGGCAAUGGAAGAUAAUCCCUAGGCCGUUGCUCGAGACCGUUCUCAAUAACCACGCCGGCCAUCCCAGAGUCGCAAACCCUCUCAUCCUCCACGGCCCUCGCGGCGUUGGCAAGAAAACCCUAAUCGUCCACAGGUUACUGGAUUCCUGGAACAGGCCACCACACGUUACAGCCUACGUGGACUUCAGCCGCCAGAAUGAUCCAUGGUUGUUGGAGGCGGGAUCCGUUAGCAUUGGGGAUCUUCGCUUGCAGCUCGAGCAAAGCCUCGAAUCCCUCGCGCAGAAAGCAGUCCGGCUUGGCUGCAUCGGCGGCAACGACGUGCUCUCCACCCUGAAGAAAUGGCACGGCAUCGAUGGCGCGCUUCGUCAGAUUUUGGGCAAGAAGGAGGUGAGCGGGAAGGAUUCGACUGCAGUAUUGUGGAGGAAGGCAAUACGCGCUGUCUCUUCCAGGGGAGUCGUUGGCGAUUGGGAGGAGCAGUAUCGAGAGCACCUCACGGAGCUCGGUGCCUGGAACGAUGCGUUGCAGCCUGGGAGCGGUGGCGUGCACGCUAGAAAUGUGGAAUUGCUCGGGACGGGGAAGCUUGAUUUGAAAUCAAUGGAGGAGCUGUCAUAUUUUAAGGAAACGAUGCUCUCUCUGCACUUGGCGAAAGAGGUGCUUUCUGUUCACGAGAGAUGGCGAGCAAAGGCUGUCGAGAACUUGAACCGUACGGGCGAGUACUCAAAUUCGUUGGCGAAUCUGUCGACAAAUUGGCCGUUGUUGCUGCUGGACCUCUUGUCUGCUGCAGCUCACAUGGGGUAUUUCCAGCCGAAGCUAGUGAUGAACAAUAUAGAUGUUCUUCGGAAGGCAAACUUAGCUGGCUCCUGUCCAAUGGUACCUGCAGACAUGUACCACGAUAGCCUGCUUUGGAGGCUAAUUGCUUUGGGCGUGAAUGAGAGAUUCCUGCCUAUCAUGCUUGUGACCUCAGACGGAUAUUAUUCAUACCAGGUAUUUAGGGAUUUUGGCUAUUCUGAGCUGUUCAUCUCCCGUGAGACAUUUGGGUGGACACCGAAGGAGGCCAAAAUGCACAUGGUCACUGACUUCUUUAGUGAAGCUGAGUGGAAGACCAUUGUUGAUGUGGUGGGUUCGAAUCCUCGGCAUCUUUCUGACCUCUUUACCCUCAAGCAAGCCAUUCAUGAAAGCAUGACCUUGAAGGCUAUUAAAGAUGGUGAUUUUGAUGACACUGUAGAUCUGUACCUAUCAUAUUUACAGGUUACUGUGGUGAACCGUGGCAUAGAAGCAGCAUUGCUCAUCUUAGAAAGAUUUGCACUUGAUGCAUAUAAUGGAAAAAUUUCUAAAGACAUAUUAUGUUUUGGAUCCCCUUGGAGGCACCCACCACGUGCAGAUAAUAAGUUAGUGCGGUUACAGUGGGCCAAGCUUCAAAUGAUGGAUUUCAUUCAAUCCCUCGUAAAUGCUGAAUUUGGAGUAAACUAUUUGGGCGAAUCUAGUUUUGAAAUACUGGAAGACCCUUGUGUUACUGCAUUGAUGGAGGUCGGUUUGCUGUAUAUACAGCGGGAUCCUGCUUACAUUCGUCCUGUUUCCCGUGCCAUACAGAGGUGCUUUGUAAGAUGGCUUGUGCAGGAAAGAAUGCAGAUGAGCCUUAAACAGUCAUUCUUGUUUAAGUGGCACCGCAUCAUUCGGGGGAGAAGUUAUCGACAUCUAAUGAGGAAGUAGGACUAUCGUAUUUGAAAAAGAAAGUAGGCAGUUCCAUCAUUGUAGUACCCUUCUUCUACGAAAAAGCUCAGUCAAGAUGGGAAUGAGCCUUGGCGUGCUAGCUCCAGCCCCGGCUAUGCGUCAGUGACGUGCCAUGUUCUUUCCUACAUGCUGGCGUUCCAGGAAGUAGUAUGCGUAUCGAUUACCUUUUAGGAUGUUUCGAUUGUUUUCGCAAGUUGUCCCAUAGGACUGACGUCAAGUUUUUUAGUGUCGAAGUAACCAGCUUCUUUUACUAAAAGCUUGCUUCCCAUUUUCCUAAAAAAAAAAAGAACUUCCGACUUGGUCUUGUAUCACAUUCGAUUGUUUUGACAUAUCACGUGCACUUCUAAUCUCACAUGCCGUGUCCACCUCUAGUUAUGAAAUGGUUGAUUUUGUUCUUAAGUUAAGCAAGUUUUUUUUUUUCUUUUUUUUAACCCAUAAAUGAAAUUGGAAACCAUAGAGAUCUCAAACCGGUCUCGUUCAUUCAAUUUCAUAUACUCGAUGCAAUCAAGAAUCCGAUUUAUUCUUCAGGAGGUGGGAGUCCCUUAAUAGCUAGGGGGUUAUCUAACAUGAGAGGAAUUUCUUUGGCCUGGCAAAGAGAAGUUAUUUGAAGAUUAAGGCUGCAAAUAGAUUAUGUUAAUCUGAUGUGUUAUUCUUAGAUUUAGAUCAUAAAAGCAGAUUUGAACCUUUUAAGCAUUCACUUAGAUCAUAUUCGAAUUUGAUUUGAAUCAGUAUGCUUAGUUGAACCCCGUUGACAUCUGAAGUCUUGGAAAUGCAAUUUUCUCCUGGUGUUCAUCCAAUUUUUAUAGGCCAAAUUUGGAACAUGUAUUUCGGUCUCAGAUUCAGCUCGCUGCCUGGUAGGUGGGUGAUGCUGAGAAGUGACCAGCUUAUGAGAUGCUUGUUCAUGAUAGUUCUUCUACGAUGACAAGGGUGAGCCUGAUCACCAAGCUUUACGGACAACAUGUUGGUAACUUCUUGAUAGGCUUUGCUAUGCAAAAUUUAGUUCAUUAAUACAUAAAAAUGACCAAGCAUGACGUGCGGCUGCUCACCAUGUUAUCAGUAUGCGUGUCUUGCAUGCACACGUUUGCCCAAUUUUACAUUUAUCUCACAGAUUAUAUUCUCAUAUAUGUUUUACAGAUUCAUGGUACACAUUAUGCAGGGAAUUCAAAUUGCGUGGCUGUCAUCUGGGCUAUCUUCUGUUUUAAGUAUUUUCUUCAAAAUGUCAAAAAAUGUAGAAAUAGUAAAACAAAUCCAAUAUCCAGAUCAAAUAUUAUGCCUCAAGAAAUCUAACCUAAAAUCG